AGAAGCCUUUGCUCUCUUCUCUUCCAGUGAGGUUCGGGAACAGAAAGUCACCACAUUGGUCUCACUUAUCUGGAAGCUGAGGCCUGCAGCCACUGCUGUUGCCUGCCAUGUGGGAGGUGGAGAGAUUUGACUGUGUCUGGCAACCCAUGCUUUCCUUGAGGGAUGUGAGAUUUCCUCCCAGGCUUAUCAGUAAAAUGUGAGGCACACCUCUGGAACAGAAGAGGUUAUAAACGGUGUGACUGCACUGGCAUAGCGAUCCUGUUUGAGAAAAGAGCAAAGAAGGGCUGCAGAGAACAAACCACUGUGAGACUUACACUUAGGAGUUCUUUCCAUGCCUCUGAUUUUAAACAAUACAUUGCAAAAAUUUUGAAAUAAAAAAAUU